CCUCUGUGGGCGGGGCGCUGCUGAUAGUCGUCGCAAUCACGAUUGUGUUAGUUGUGAUUUGGAGACGACGGUAUUGGAAUGUAGCGAAACGGAGCGAAUAUCAUGAUCUACUAUCUAAUAAGAAGGGUUCACACAACGAUACUGCCUCUGAUACUUCAUCCGACACAGGUAGCCAGAAGCUACACAGGGGCGAACACGUGUAUGAUAAUAAGGUGUAUCAGCACGGUGAAGACAAUAACAUAUAUGAUCCUCGGCACAGUUUGGCAUUCCAAGUCAAACUUGAUCACAUCGACCCGAA